GACAGAGGUGCCGAGCGUUAGGCGGAAUCACUGGGCUUAAAGCGCGUGUAGGCGGGCCGUUAAGUAUCUUGUGAAAUCCCCCGGCUCAACCGGGGAAUGGCUGGAUAUACUGGCGGUCUUGAGCGAUCUAGGGGCAGAUGGAACAAGUGGUGGAGCGGUGAAAUGCGUAGAUAUCACUUGGAACGCCAAAGGUGAAAACAGUCUGCUGGGGAUCUGCUGACGCUGAGACACGAAAGCCAGGGGAGCGAACGGG
rnacentral:rRNA from 1 species